rnacentral:rRNA from 1 species
UUAAGUGACUAAGCGUACAUGGUGGAUGCCUUGGCAGUCAGAGGCGAUGAAGGACGUACUAACCUGCGAUAAGCCGUGAGCAGUCGGUAAGAGACAUUACGACUCACGGAUUUCCGAAUGGGGAAACCCACUUAGCAUAAGCUAGGUAUCGCUGCGUGAAUACAUAGCGUAGCGAGGCGAACCGGGAGAACUGAAACAUCUAAGUACCCCGAGGAAAAGAAAUCAACCGAGAUUCCCUCAGUAGCGGCGAGCGAACGGGGAUUAGCCCUUAAGCAUCUUGGAAGUUAGUGGAACGGUCCUGGAAAGGCCGGCGAUACAGGGUGAUAGCCCCGUACACGAAAACAACCUUGAUGUGAAAUCGAGUAGGGCGGGACACGUGACAUCCUGUCUGAAUAUGGGGGGACCAUCCUCCAAGGCUAAAUACUCCUGACUGACCGAUAGUGAACCAGUACCGUGAGGGAAAGGCGAAAAGAACCCCUGUGAGGGGAGUGAAAUAGAACCUGAAACCGUGUACGUACAAGCAGUGGGAGCCCUUCGGGGUGACUGCGUACCUUUUGUAUAAUGGGUCAGCGACUUACAUUUUGUAGCGAGGUUAACCGUAUAGGGGAGCCGUAGGGAAACCGAGUCUUAACUGGGCGUCUAGUUGCAAGGUGUAGACCCGAAACCGGGUGAUCUAGCCAUGGGCAGGUUGAAGGUUGAGUAACAUCAACUGGAGGACCGAACCCACUAACGUUGCAAAGUUAGGGGAUGACCUGUGGCUGGGGGUGAAAGGCCAAUCAAACUCGGAGAUAGCUGGUUCUCCCCGAAAGCUAUUUAGGUAGCGCCUCGGACGAAUACUACUGGGGGUAGAGCACUGUUUGGGCUAGGGGGUCAUCCCGACUUACCAACCCCAUGCAAACUCCGAAUACCAGUAAGUAAUAUCCGGGAGACACACGGCGGGUGCUAACGUCCGUCGUGAAGAGGGAAACAACCCAGACCGCCGGCUAAGGUCCCAAAGUUCUGGUUAAGUGGGAAACGAUGUGGGAAGGCUCAGACAGCUAGGAUGUUGGCUUAGAAGCAGCCAUCAUUUAAAGAAAGCGUAAUAGCUCACUAGUCGAGUCGGCCUGCGCGGAAGAUGUAACGGGGCUCAAACCAGGCACCGAAGCCGCGGAUUCACGCUAAGCGUGAGUGGUAGGGGAGCGUUCUGUAAGUCUGCGAAGGUGUAUCGAGAGGUAUGCUGGAGAUAUCAGAAGUGCGAAUGCUGACGUAAGUAACGAUAAAGGGGGUGAAAAGCCUCCUCGCCGGAAGACCAAGGGUUCCUGUCCAACGUUAAUCGGGGCAGGGUGAGUCGACCCCUAAGGCGAGGCCGAAAGGCGUAGUCGAUGGGAAGCAGGUUAAUAUUCCUGCACGACUUGUAAUUGCGAUGGGGGGACGGAGAAGGCUAGGUGGGCCAGGCGACGGUUGUCCUGGUGAAAGUGCGUAGGUGGUGUUUCUAGGCAAAUCCGGAGACACAACACUGAGACACGAGACGAACACACUACGGUGGGAAGCCAUUGAUGCCCUGCUUCCAGGAAAAGCCUCUAAGCUUCAGAUUACAAGUCAUCGUACCCCAAACCGACACAGGUGGUCGGGUAGAGAAUACCAAGGCGCUUGAGAGAACUCGGGUGAAGGAACUAGGCAAAAUAGAACCGUAACUUCGGGAGAAGGUUCGCUCUUGACAGUGAAGUCCCUUGCGGAUGGAGCAGUUGGGAGUCGCAGUGACCAGAUGGCUGGGACUGUUUAUCAAAAACACAGCACUCUGCAAACACGAAAGUGGACGUAUAGGGUGUGACACCUGCCCGGUGCCGGAAGGUUAAUUGAUGGGGUUAGCGCAAGCGAAGCUCUUGAUCGAAGCCCCGGUAAACGGCGGCCGUAACUAUAACGGUCCUAAGGUAGCGAAAUUCCUUGUCGGGUAAGUUCCGACCUGCACGAAUGGUGUAACCAUGGCCAUGCUGUCUCCACCCGAGACUCAGUGAAAUCGAAUUCGCCGUGAAGAUGCGGUGUACCCGCGGCUAGACGGAAAGACCCCGUGAACCUUUACUACAGCUUGGCACUGAACAUUGAACCUACAUGUGUAGGAUAGGUGGGAGGCUUUGAAGGCGUGACGCCAGUUGCGCUGGAGCCGUCCUUGAAAUACCACCCUUGUAUGUUUGAUGUUCUAACGCAGGCCCGUGAAUCCGGGUCGCGGACAGUGCCUGGUGGGUAGUUUGACUGGGGCGGUCUCCUCCCAAAGAGUAACGGAGGAGCACGAAGGUUGGCUAAUCCUGGUCGGACAUCAGGAGGUUAGUGCAAUGGCAUAAGCCAGCUUAACUGCGAGACGGACAGGUCGAGCAGGUACGAAAGUAGGUCAUAGUGAUCCGGUGGUUCUGAAUGGAAGGGCCAUCGCUCAACGGAUAAAAGGUACUCCGGGGAUAACAGGCUGAUACCGCCCAAGAGUUCAUAUCGACGGCGGUGUUUGGCACCUCGAUGUCGGCUCAUCACAUCCUGGGGCUGAAGUCGGUCCCAAGGGUAUGGCUGUUCGCCAUUUAAAGUGGUACGCGAGCUGGGUUCAGAACGUCGUGAGACAGUUCGGUCCCUAUCUGCCGUGGGCGUUGGAUGAUUGAAGGGAGUUGCUCCUAGUACGAGAGGACCGGAGUGAACGAACCUCUGGUGUUCGGGUUGUCACGCCAGUGGCACUGCCCGGUAGCUAAGUUCGGAAUCGAUAACCGCUGAAAGCAUCUAAGCGGGAAGCGAGCCCUGAGAUGAGUCAUCCCUGACCCCUUGAGGGUCCUAAAGGGCCGUUGGAGACCACAACGUUGAUAGGUGGGGUGUGUAAGCGCGGCGACGUGUUGAGCUAACCCAUACUAAUUACCCGUGAGGCUUAACCA